UUCAUCAAAUAAUAGUUGUCAUAUGAAUUGUGAUUUAUGCAUAUAAAUUAUGUUCGCACAAAUAUGUAAUAAACCAGCAACCAUAAAUAAUGAGAACCAAUGUUUGGUGACUAUAUAAAUUUAUGUGAAAUGGAUCCUUCUGUGUGUUUUUGUUAUCCGCUUCAUCAGAAACCAAUAUUUACAGUAAUCACCAUGAAACUGAAAAAUAAUAAAUUGUCCUUAAGGGUUUAGAGAAAGGGUUAGAUACACAUAUUCUAGCAGAUCAAUGAAAGUAGCUUUUCUUCCUUCAACCUUGUUCCCUGAUGGAUGGUUCAUCAAGCAUGAGAAGCUGCUCCAUAGCAACUUUGCUUAAUGUCCUGUAGACCCUAAUAGAUCCGUCCAAAAGCUGUGCUACUACCAUGGUGGGUUCUUUUAGCAGGAUCUCGUCUCAGUGCUCUUAUGCUCAAUGGAUUAUCCUUGCUCAUUCGGCAGGUUCCAGCAUCAAGGUCACAGAUGGGAUACUCGUGAGGGCAGCAGCUAUAAUGGUCAUCGCAGCAGGUUGCAGACUCAAGAGGGCAGCAUCCCCAUCCAAAGCAAAAGCCGCUAUAUUCAUAAAUACAGCAGCAGGUAUUUCCCUCAGGACAUGAGUAGUAAUCAUCACAUUCAGUUGGGGGCCUCACUGGAGGUGGAGGGUUAACUGGAGAUGGAGGGGAGGGACCAGGAUUAGGGGGGUUAGCACCCUUCUUGGUGGGAUAUGAAGCCUCCAUUGCAAUCCCACACUUGCCAGUCGUUGUGCUGGCCACAUUACGCUCCAUUUUAAUAUAACCUUUCUCUCCCCAUCCAGGACCCCAUGAAUUCCUCACAAUCCAGUAAUCUACACCAUUCUCUGUACCAUAUCCAACAGCAACCACACCAUGGUCCAGCUGAGUGCCGCAUCUUCCAGUAAAAACACCCGAUUGGUAGAGCUGGAAAGCCCUGCCACCAGCUUCUAUAGCAACACUAACUGGUUGAUGUGCUACAGCCUUCUUCAAAGAAUUCUCAUCAUUCUCAGGAACAUCUUCAUAUCCAUCAAUAGUAACUACCUUAGCAUUUUUCCUAUUUGGAUCACAAAAAUUAUCAGUAGCCUUGUAAGGGUAAUCUUCUUCUGUAUCAAUUCCACCAUUCUUAAUGAUAAAUUCAAAGGCAUAGUCCAUGAGACCUCCAUUGCAUCCCUGGUUAUAAGAUGUGUCACAGUCCACUAACUCCUGCUCUGACAGAGAGAUUAGAUCACCAGUUACAAUCUGGUUGAUUCCUUCCACUGCACCAAUAGUCGAGAAAGCCCAGCAACUCCCACACUGGCCUUGAUCCUUGACAGGGACAACAGCUCCUUUCUCUCUCCAGUCAACCUUCUUCGGCAAAUCAUCUCCUUUAUUGAACAAAUACCUCUGACUCCUGCCGGCUCCCAAUCUAUUCUUCCUCUCCAUCCUCGUACCCAAGAACUUCGCUCGGUACUCCUCGUUGGUCAGAUCGGCAAACCGAUUCAAACCAACCUUGUAAGUCCGGUUCACAGAGUUAUGUUCGUCGAUGAAUCUAAGAUUGUCCUUGAAGAUCUCAAACCGCUUCUCCUUCUCUCCCAAAGCAUUGUAGGCUUUGCCAUGUUUCAUCAGCCAAAUCUCGUAAAUUCUUCGAAUCUGAGCCUCGGUUCUUUCUGGUUGUGGGUUUUGUCCAUGCCCGAUAUUGUAAUCAAUAAUGGACAUAUCCAACGCAAGGGAGAUUGAAAACAACGAAAGCAAGACGAACAAGGCGAGAGAUCUCCCAGGAGGAGCCAUGGCUGGGGAAUGGUAGGUUGGUUGAUUGGUUGGUGAAAUGAGUGAAUUUGCGAUGUGGGUAUUUGAUUGUUGUAUAGAAGGUUGGGUGGGUGUAUUUUAUAAAUAGGAGAUGGCGAAGCAAGAGAGAAGACGUUGAAGAUGAGAGGAAUUACAGAGACGAAGCUGGAUUGAAACAGGAGAUGUUUCUCGUCACGCAAGGUCUCGGGGUUGGUUGUUGGACUUGGACCCACCUAAAUUUUAGAGAACUGUGUGGGUG
rnacentral:misc_RNA from 1 species